rnacentral:lncRNA from 1 species
GCUCACCAGCGGUUGGAGAAGCCGGUACCCUCUCAUGCAUCAAGUGGUCCUCAUGAGACGGUGAAUACACCACUCCAUCCUCAAGGUGGACUCUCUCCAGGUGUACAUCACUUGGAGUUGGCGAGGAAACAUUCAACACAAUAUCCUUUUUGUACCAGAGGAUGAACUGUUUCUUGAGUAGUCCAAGCUCACGAAUCCCCUCGCUAGUUGGGUGUUCAAUCUUAUGCUUCGCGUACUCGGGAUUCACGGUAUGCACCUCAACCUUACU